GGCGGAAAAGGGCAAACCAGUCGCGAGGCUGGGACGCAAAGCGUUGAGUCCGAUGCGGAUUGUCGCGCUGCCCGC
rnacentral:ncRNA from 1 species